UAUUUUAUUCUCCAAUAUUCAGAAUUACUAAUGAGAUGUCUGCAAUGUGUCAAGUCUUAACAUCAGAUUGGACACCACCACCAUUUCCUGUUCCACACUGAUCUUCACAUGGUUCUUGCUUUUUAACACAACCUCUGAAAACCGAGCCUCACAAAGGAUGUAUGAAAAAUGCUUCUCUACUCUCAGUGAGGCUUUAUAGAAUACACAGCCCUCUAUGCCACUCUAUGAAGAAAGCAAAGAAAAAGAUCACUCCUAAAAGCAGUGUGCUUUCCCUCAGUGGAAGUCUGUGGAGCAUGGUGAAAUCAGCCAAUCAGAACGUGCGGAGGCCCACUCUAGAGGCACACAGGAAACUAGAAUGAGUGACGCCUGAGAGUUCAAGACAGCAAGCUGCUUUGAGCCC